AAUCUUGUUGUUGUUGUCUUUCAAUUUAUUUACAGCUGGUUCGACCUGUUCCUACAUCUAUGGAGUUUCAUCUAGACAGUGCAGAAUACUGCCAGGCACAGCACAAAUAAAAAGGGGAAAAAGUCCGUAGCGAAAGUUUGACAAGGAAAUCAAAACGUUCGCGAAGGCGUUUAAAAGUCAGACGAAGAAACUGCAAGUUUAAGAAGGAAAA